GAGCAAGGAGGAGUGCUGCUUCUGGUGAUGGGCUUAAAAUAGCAGCAGAAGAAAUUGUGGAGGAGAUCAGACCAACAUCUGUCAGGAGUGGUUUUGGUGGAGCUGAUCUUGCCUGGAGGAAGGGAAAUGGGCUCGGUGAGUUUUUUCGAGGUCCCUCCAUUCUGUCUCCUGUGACUCAGAAUGGCCCUCUGGAAGCAUUUAUUUCUUUCUCUACCGCUCUCUGUCUCAGGAUGAUUUGGGUUUUUAGUUAGGUGCCUACAGUUAUGCGUUA
ensembl:lncRNA